rnacentral:rRNA from 1 species
GGACCCGCACAAGUAGUGGAGCAUGUGGUUUAAUUCGAUGCAACGCGAAGAACCUUACCAGGGUUUGACAUCCUGCGAAUCUCUUGGAAACGAGAGAGUGCCUUCGGGAACGCAGUGACAGGUGGUGCAUGGCUGUCGUCAGCUCGUGUCGUGAGAUGUUGGUUAAGUCCCGCAACGAGCGCAACCCACGUCUUUAGUUGCCAGCAUUUAGUUGGGCACUCUAGAGAGACCGCCGGUGAUAAACCGGAGGAAGGUGUGGAUGACGUCAAGUCAUCAUGCCCCUUACAUCCUGGGCUACACACGUACUACAAUGCUACGGACAAAGGGCAGCUACCGGGUGACCGGAUGCG